UACGUAGGGGGCAAGCGUUGUCCGGAUUUAUUGGGCGUAAAGAGCGUGUAGGCGGCCUUACAGGUCAGCUGUGAAAACUCGAGGCUCAACCUCGAGAUGUCGGCGGAAACCGUCUGGCUAGAGUCCGGAAGAGGAGAGUGGAAUUCCUGGUGUAGCGGUGAAAUGCGCAGAUAUCAGGAAGAACACCCGUGGCGAAAGCGGCUCUCUGGGACGGUACUGACGCUGAGACGCGAAAGCGUGGGGAGCGAACAGG
rnacentral:rRNA from 1 species